CUACGGGAGGCAGCAGUAAGGAAUAUUGGGCAAUGGACGCAAGUCUGACCCAGCCAUGCCGCGUGCAGGAUGACAGCCCUACGGGUUGUAAACUGCUUUUAUACGGGAAAAAUUCCCCGGUCGUGAAUCGGGGUUGAUGGUACCGUAAGAAUAAGCAUCGGCUAACUCCGUGCCAGCAGCCGCGGUAAUACGGAGGAUGCAAGCGUUAUCCGGAUUCAUUGGGUUUAAAGGGUGCGUAGGCGGAAUGAUAAGUCAGUGGUGAAAUCCUACAGCUUAACUGUAGAACUGCCAUUGAUACUGUUGUUCUUGAGUACAUUUGAAGUGGGCGGAAUGUGUCAUGUAGCGGUGAAAUGCAUAGAGAUGACACAGAACACCGAUCGCGAAGGCAGCUCACUAAACUGUAACUGACGCUGAGGCACGAAAGCGUGGGGAUCAAACAGGAUUAGAUACCCCCGUAGUC
rnacentral:rRNA from 1 species